rnacentral:rRNA from 1 species
GAUGAACGCUGGCGGCGUGCCUAACACAUGCAAGUCGAACGGAGAUUACGGACGGAAGUUUUCGGAUGGAAGCCUGUAAUUCUUAGUGGCGGACGGGUGAGUAACGCGUGGGCAACCUGCCCUAUACAGGGGGAUAGCAGCUGGAAACGGCUGGUAAGACCGCAUAAGUCGGUUAAAUCGCAUGAUUUGAUCGGGAAAUGAGCAAUCAGGUAUAGGAUGGGCCCGCGUCCGAUUAGCCAGUUGGCAGGGUAAAAGCCUACCAAAGCGACGAUCGGUAGCCGGACUGAGAGGUCGGACGGACACACUGGGACUGAGACACAGCCCAAACUCCUACGGGAGGCAGCAGUGGGGGAUAGUGCACAAUGGAGGAAACUCUGAUGCAGCGACGCCGCGUGAGUGAAGAAGUAUUUCGGUAUGUAAAGCUCUAUCAGCAGGGAAGAUGAUGACGGUACCUGACUAAGAAGCCCCGGCUAACUACGUG